rnacentral:sRNA from 1 species
GAUGGGUGUCAUGGCACACACCUGUAAUCCCAGUGGCUUGGGAGGCUGAGACAGGAGAAUCGUGAGUUCAAAGCCAGCCUCAGCAAUGGCAAGGGGCUAAGCAACUCAGUGAGACCCUGUCUCUA